rnacentral:rRNA from 1 species
UACAGAGGGUGCGAGCGUUGUCCGGAAUCACUGGGCGUAAAGGGCGCGUAGGCGGCCUGAUAAGUAGGGGGUGAAAUCUUGCGGCUCAACCGCAAGGCUGCCUUCUAAACUGUCAGGCUGGAGCACGGUAGAGGCAGAUGGAAUUCCCGGUGUAGCGGUGGAAUGCGUAGAGAUCGGGAAGAACACCAGUGGCGAAGGCGGUCUGCUGGGCCGUUGCUGACGCUGAGGCACGAAAGCGUGGGUAGCAAACAGG